ACAAGCGUUAAACAUUCAGAGAAGCAACUUAUUUAUUAAUAAUAAAACAUAUAUGCUCAUCACGACCGUCCACGAAGGGAUGAUCUUGGCUCUUACAAAAUGACAAUCAAAAACAUGUCCUAAACCCAAAAACCAGCAACCUUUCAUCUCCGCCCACAGCUUAGCAAUCCUCACAUCACAUACAAUUAUAUGAUAUAAAAACAUCACAGAGUCUUUAGUUUACUUUUAGUCAGCAGCAUUUUAAAACCAAACUUUAGAUAGGAAGGACACGUAAUACAAAUAGCAUUAACAAAACGACAAGGACACGUUGCGAAAUCCAAAACGAAACGACACUAUCUACAGACUACAGGCAACUCAUCCGGUGAGUUGGUGACCCAUCACAUUCAUUUACAUCGCUGGAGCGUAUCAUCCACUCAGUGAUGAUGCUUGCUCCUAGUCUCCCCACU
rnacentral:lncRNA from 1 species